CCGUUCGUAGCUGAGUGGUCAAUGUGAUGGUCUGUGGAUCAUAGGGUCCCCGGUUCUAGCCCUGCCGGAAGCA
rnacentral:tRNA from 1 species